UACGUAGGGGGCAAGCGCUGUCCGGAAUCAUUGGGCGUAAAGCGCGUGUAGGCGGCUCGAUAAGUCUGCUGUGAAAGUCCAGGGCUCAACCCUGGGAUGCCGGUGGAUACUGUCGAGCUCGAGUCCGGAAGAGGCGAGUGGAAUUCCUGGUGUAGCGGUGAAAUGCGCAGAUAUCAGGAAGAACACCAAUGGCGAAGGCAGCUCUCUGGGACGGUACUGACGCUGAGACGCGAAAGCGUGGGGAGCGAACAGG
rnacentral:rRNA from 1 species